GUGUGUUUCUUGUCAGAGGAGGUGUGUCGCAAGAAGUGGAAGGGCCUGAGGGACACCUAUUUGAAGGAAAGGAGAAAAGAGUGUGAAAGAAAGAGCGGGUCAGCAGCAGGGCCAGUUAAGAGGUGAAAGUGCUCUGCGGUCCUGUUUUUCCUCGACCCCUUUGUUACACCAAGAGACACCAGUAGUAACAUGGGGCGGGUGGUCGAGGAAGACAGGACCACAGAGUAUGAGGAGCAGGUGUCAGACGCAGCAGCAGGGCCGUCAGGUAUUGACAUCGGAGAUAAGCCAGAUCCUCUGAAGCCAGUGAGGCAGAGUCAAGUGUUGCUGCAGUUUCUGCUGCUGCAGUUUCUGCUGCAACACCACCCACAGUGACCAGGAGGACCCGGAAGAGGACCAGGGGGAGUGACAGGGAGAGGGAAAUAGAAGCAUUCCUCCUGGAGGCUUUGAAAAGGCCGGCUCCACCUGCUCCACCUCCCCCCUCAGAGGACGAGCUUUUCCUCAAAAGCCUGGUUCAUUCCCUGCAAAGACUGUCGCCUCAGCAGAAGGAAUUUGUUAAAUUUCAGAUACACAAACUAAUUUAUGAGCCCAGCUCCGUAGUUCUCAAUUUGGAACCAGCAGAAUAGGUUAUCAGGGCGACAGUCUUUGCAGUGAACAAACCAGGCCUUACAUCAUUAUUUGUUUUUAUUUUUUAUUUUUUUAAUUUUCUCAUACACACACACACACACAUACACACACUCCUGGCCUCCUCUGAGUCUGUCCCUGCCUGUUGCCACUGUUUGUCAUCCAUCCAUGUUCAGGGGCUCCAUGCUGAUGUUUUUUAUUUUUCAUAUUUUUAAAAUAGUAUUUUGUGUGUCCUUUUUUUGAGGCACUUUGUUGAGAACCAUGAAUGGUAGUGUUCUUUUUAAAAAAACAACAAAAAAAUCAAAAAAUGAAAGCACUUUAUUUCCGUGAUUUACUUCAUGUUCUUUAUUUACAAAAAUAUGGUUGACACACAAAGGAAACAACCUUAUGUGCAUUUCCUAUGCUGUAAAAUAGAUAUUUUGUUCAUAUCAAAAGUUCAGGUCAAUAUCAGGUUUAUAUGAUAAUUUAUCUGCAGUGUACAAAUGGUUUAUGUUUGGUUAGCUGCUAAUUGUGUUCAUACUCCCAGUCUCAAUAUCUUCACUGGAUAUACUUAAAGACAGCUUAUCACAGUGAUGUCUUUUUUUUUUAAAUGUUAUUGUGUUGUGUUGUAAUGCAGUGCAGACAUGCUAAAUUAAAGCUGUAUUAUCAAUCAA